GGAGGGUAUAGCUCAGUGGUAGAGCACGUGCUUAGCAUGCACGAGGUCCUGGGUUCAAUCCCCAGUGCCUCCA
rnacentral:tRNA from 1 species